rnacentral:rRNA from 1 species
GUCCAGACUCCUACGGGAGGCAGCAGUGGGGGAUAUUGCACAAUGGGGGGAACCCUGAUGCAGCGACGCCGCGUGGGUGAAGAAGCGCCUCGGCGCGUAAAGCCCUGUCAGCAGGGAAGAAAAUGACGGUACCUGAAGAAGAAGCCCCGGCUAACUACGUGCCAGCAGCCGCGGUAAUACGUAGGGGGCAAGCGUUAUCCGGAUUUACUGGGUGUAAAGGGAGCGUAGGCGGCGAUGCAAGUCAGAAGUGAAAGCCCGGGGCUCAACUCCGGGACUGCUUUUGAAACUGUAUGGCUAGAUUGCAGGAGAGGCAAGUGGAAUUCCUAGUGUAGCGGUGAAAUGCGUAGAUAUUAGGAGGAACACCAGUGGCGAGGGCGGCUUGCUGGACUGUAAAUGACGCUGAGGCUCGAAAGCGUGGGGAGCAAACAGGAUUAGAUACCCGCGUAGG